UACAGAGGUCUCAAGCGUUGUUCGGAUUCAUUGGGCGUAAAGGGUGCGUAGGUGGCGCCGUAAGUCGGGUGUGAAAUUUCGGAGCUUAACUCCGAAACUGCAUUCGAUACUGCGGUGCUUGAGGACUGGAGAGGAGACUGGAAUUCAUGGUGUAGCAGUGAAAUGCGUAGAGAUCAUGAGGAAGACCAGUGGCGAAGGCGGGUCUCUGGACAGUUCCUGACACUGAGACACGAAGGCUAGGGGAGCAAACGGGG
rnacentral:rRNA from 1 species